AGAGAGAACCAUCCAGAGGAUCCGACUGGCGCUACUCCGUCCGGCCACAUCACAGCGGCGGACCCCGGCAUUCUCUCCGCCUCGCCAUCGUCGUCACGCCCAUGGCCUCUAAUUGUCCAUGCAUUGAACGAAGAAGGAGAAUCGAAGACCCGAAGCUCCGAGUCUCCUCCGGCGAGUUUCAACUAAUUCCGGCGACUCCGAUCACCGAUUAAGUUGCAUGUGGCUAACAAUUUGAAAAGCUUUCUGGUUGUUGGCAUCACACUCACCAGUUCAUCUUCGGCAGUGACAUGGGAAAUUGGGUUUUCAUCAUCAGGCUUGUCCUGGGAACUGAGUUGGGUUGAUUAAAGUUGAUUUCCGAUUUCGAAGGUAUAAUCUCGAACUAGAAUCACGUUUUGUUCUUGUGUUAGUGAUUGGAAGUUAUGGAACUGAGUGGUUUGAUAUGGUGAAA